CACACCCGUUCUCAUUCCGAACACGGAAGUUAAGCCCACCUGCGCCGAUGGUAGUCGCAAGGCGAGAGUAGGUCGGCGCCAGCA
rnacentral:rRNA from 1 species